AGAAGGGCAUGAAGACCAUGCUUCCAAGAGAGUGUGUAAUGCACCAGUGACACCCCCUCCAGGACUUCUUUGCACAUACCUGAGCUCCCCCCUAGGCUGGGUGCAGAGGUGGAGGCCUGCCCCCUGCGUUGGCCUAAGCCCCGCCCCUCCAUGGCCCUAAGCCCUAUUGCUUCUUCCUUGGUUCCGCCCUGCUUCAGUUCAGUACCUGGUGCUCAACCAGUGGAUACAUUUCUGGUGUGUGGCCUGCGUCCCAACUCCCGCCCCUCAGAACUCUCUUUGUUUCUUCCUUUGCUUUUUAUCUUCACUCUGGCCAGCUCAGCAGCCCGAAAGCAAGUUGUGCUGGCUGAACUGAAAAUGCAGAGGCCUUCGGUUAUACGGGAACAUCAUGGGCCCUUGUCUGCUGUGAGUGCCUCAAAGAAGGAGCAGGGCACAAGGCUGAAGAGGCACCUGGAUCGAGGACUGAUAAGGAAUAUGUCUGCUGCCCCCAAAUUCUACAAGAAUGGCAAGCAGGUGGCUGUUGAAGCAGAAAACCGCAAUGGCAAGGAGUUCACUGUGCACAGGAGUGAGGCCAGGCCCCACAAACGACUGCAGGAGCAGGGAAAAUUUCAAGGAACUCUGAUGCGUAGCCAGCCUCGAGAACAUUCAGUUCUGUCCUAUACUCCAGUGACCUUGGAGCAGCAACCAGUGAUUUCUUUUUCCCGGGAGCCUCGCGGUCCCUCUGCCAGGCCCCAAAGAUUCUCAAGUGUGAUCCUGCAACCCCGUGCCACCCCUGGCCCUCUUCUACUGCAGCCACAGGUCCCUGAUGCCACCAAGCAGGACACUGUUGCUGCUGCCUUAGAGUGGCAGAGGAAGCUGGAGGCUGCUGAGGCUCUGCUGGCCCUGAAAAACUCUUCUCAGGUUCCUCCUGAUUCUGCCUCUCUGCAACAGCGUGCCAGCAUGCCAGGUCCUGCUGGAGACAGAGGACUGCAGCCUCCUAGUCCCUACCUGCCACCGCGGCCGGCCAGCUCUGUCGCACUUACUGGACAUCUGGAGUGCAUGUCCUUCCUGACCUGAGAGCCCAUAGUGGGAGGCCUGACUAGAACACUGCCUGUUUGUAAUUCUGCAGGUGAUUGUGUGGAGUAUCUCUACGAUGCAGAGAACAUCUGAGAUGCUUGAUGUCUCAUUCAUACGAAGGCCUUAAAACGAAAUUCCACAAAAGGCUGAAACACCUGCUGUUUCCAAAUCCUGUUCUUUCAGUGAUAAAGGAUCUCACCAAAUCCUGAUAUGGCCUACAUGGGUCUAAAAAUUGCCAUCUUCCUGACUUGAACCUUCAGAACAGCUGGGAUCACAGGCAUGCAUUCCCAUGCCAGACAGGGUUUCUCUGUGCAGCACUGGCUAUCCUGGAAUUCGCUCUGUAGGCCAUGUUGGCGUUGAACUCAGAGAUCGGCCUACCUCUGCCUCUCCGGAGCUGGGAGUAAAGACAUGUGAGACGCCCGACGCCCGACGCCCGACGCCCGACGCCCGACGCCUGCCUUAAGCCCCCACGUGCUGAACUUUGGAGAUGUGAACAGGAGCUUUGCAAGCAGAUAUGCUGAAAACGCCAGCACGUCACUUUUCCCACGAAAAGGAGGCAACGCAGGGAGUCUGGUGGAGCCUUGCCUACUGUGAGUUCUGUAAAGAAGGACAGUGUACCCAGGGAAAGAGGCAUCUCACUUGAGGCCUGAGAAGAACUAUGGAUGCUGACCCCAACUCUCAUAUGGAUGCUAAGCAGUGCCCCGCCAGAUCACCAGGCAUGAAUGGGCAACAGGGUAUCAUUUACCAGCCUGGAGUCUUGCGUCACACAGUUCCCCAGCAGGUAAGAAGAAUAAGUUGCUAC